UGAACGCUGGCGGCGUGCCUAAUACAUGCAAGUCGAGCGAACAGACGAGAAGCUUGCUUCUCUGAUGUUAGCGGCGGACGGGUGAGUAACACGUGGAUAACCUACCUAUAAGACUGGGAUAACUUCGGGAAACCGGAGCUAAUACCGGAUAAUAUUUUGAACCGCAUGGUUCAAAAGUGAAAGACGGUCUUGCUGUCACUUAUAGAUGGAUCCGCGCUGCAUUAGCUAGUUGGUAAGGUAACGGCUUACCAAGGCAACGAUGCAUAGCCGACCUGAGAGGGUGAUCGGCCACACUGGAACUGAGACACGGUCCAGACUCCUACGGGAGGCAGCAGUAGGGAAUCUUCCGCAAUGGGCGAAAGCCUGACGGAGCAACGCCGCGUGAGUGAUGAAGGUCUUCGGAUCGUAAAACUCUGUUAUUAGGGAAGAACAUAUGUGUAAGUAACUGUGCACAUCUUGACGGUACCUAAUCAGAAAGCCACGGCUAACUACGUG
rnacentral:rRNA from 1 species